ACGCGAAGAACCUUACCUGGUCUUGACAUCCACAGAACUUUCCAGAGAUGGAUUGGUGCCUUCGGGAACUGUGAGACAGGUGCUGCAUGGCUGUCGUCAGCUCGUGUUGUGAAAUGUUGGGUUAAGUCCCGCAACGAGCGCAACCCUUAUCCUUUGUUGCCAGCGGUCCGGCCGGGAACUCAAAGGAGACUGCCAGUGAUAAACUGGAGGAAGGUGGGGAUGACGUCAAGUCAUCAUGGCCCUUACGACCAGGGCUACACACGUGCUACAAUGGCGCAUACAAAGAGAAGCGACCUCGCGAGAGCAAGCGGACCUCAUAAAGUGCGUCGUAGUCCGGAUUGGAGUCUGCAACUCGACU
rnacentral:rRNA from 2 species